AUGUAGCUCAGUGGUAGAGCACUUGCCUGGCAUGGUUGAGGCCCUGGGUUUAAUUCCCAGCAU
rnacentral:tRNA from 1 species